UGGGGAAUAUUGCACAAUGGGCGCAAGCCUGAUGCAGCCAUGCCGCGUGUAUGAAGAAGGCCUUCGGGUAUUAAAGUACUUUCAGCGGGGAGGAAGGGAGUAAAGUUAAUACCUUUGCUCAUUGACGUUACCCGCAGAAGAAGCACCGGCUAACUCCGUGCCAGCAGCCGCGGUAAUACGGAGGGUGCAAGCGUUAAUCGGAAUUACUGGGCGUAAAGCGCACGCAGGCGGUCUGUCAAGACGGAUGUGAAAUCCGCCGGCUCAACCUGGGAACUGCAUUCGAAGCUGGCAGGCUAGAGUCGUGUAGAGGGGGGUAGAAUUCCAGGUGUAGCGGUGAAAUGCGUAGAGAGCUGGAGGAAUACCGGUGGCGAAGGCGGCCCCCUGGACAAAGACUGACGCUCAGGUGCGAAAGCGUGGGGAGCAAACAGG
rnacentral:rRNA from 1 species